rnacentral:rRNA from 2 species
UGCAAGUCGAACGGUGAAGCCCAGCUUGCUGGGUGGAUCAGUGGCGAACGGGUGAGUAACACGUGAGCAACCUGCCCCCUACUUCGGGAUAAGCCUUGGAAACGAGGUCUAAUACCGGAUAUGAACACUUGUCGCAUGGCGGGUGUUGGAAAGUUUUUCGGUGGGGGAUGGGCUCGCGGCCUAUCAGCUUGUUGGUGGGGUAAUGGCCUACCAAGGCGUCGACGGGUAGCCGGCCUGAGAGGGCGACCGGCCACACUGGGACUGAGACACGGCCCAGACUCCUACGGGAGGCAGCAGUGGGGAAUAUUGCACAAUGGGCGAAAGCCUGAUGCAGCGACGCCACGUGAGGGAUGACGGCCUUCGGGUUGUAAACCUCUUUCAGCAGGGAAGAAGCGAAAGUGACGGUACCUGCAGAAGAAGCGCCGGCUAACUACGUGCCAGCAGCCGCGGUAAUACGUAGGGCGCAAGCGUUGUCCGGAAUUAUUGGGCGUAAAGAGCUCGUAGGCGGUCUGUCGCGUCUGGUGUGAAAUCCCAUGGCUCAACUGUGGGCUUGCAUCGGGUACGGGCAGACUAGAGUGCUGUAGGGGAGACUGGAAUUCCUGGUGUAGCGGUGGAAUGCGCAGAUAUCAGGAGGAACACCGAUGGCGAAGGCAGGUCUCUGGGCAGUUACUGACGCUGAGGAGCGAAAGCAUGGGGAGCGAACAGGAUUAGAUACCCUGGUAGUCCAUGCCGUAAACGUUGGGCACUAGGUGUGGGGCCAGUUCCACUGGUUCUGUGCCGCAGCUAACGCAUUAAGUGCCCCGCCUGGGGAGUACGGCCGCAAGGCUAAAACUCAAAGGAAUUGACGGGGGCCCGCACAAGCGGCGGAGCAUGCGGAUUAAUUCGAUGCAACGCGAAGAACCUUACCAAGGCUUGACAUGUACGAGA